rnacentral:lncRNA from 1 species
UAUUAUGAACAGCAAUGUCUAAGUGCACCUUCGUAAUAGGAUUCCCGGCCGCAAUAAUCUUCCAGAAACGAGAUCGUAUUAGAGAAUUACAGUUCCAAAUACCCAGUCAAACAAAGUACAUGCAGAAACUGAUUAAACGAGUAGAUUAUGAGUGAGAAAUUACUUUCUAAACCAAUAUCUUUGUGGGGAUUUGUGAAGCGCUGGAAAUUAAAGCCGCAGGUGACUGAAACGGAUCAUGUGAAAAGGAUCAAAGGAAUCGAACGGAAGGUUAUUCAAUAUUUGACCUUUGCUUUGAAAGCUCACCGCUUGAUAUAGAACUUCAAGGAAGUGAAGAUUCGUGGAGAGGAAUUUCCUGGAGCUGAUUAUAAAGGAGAAUGCCUUAUGGCAGAAUAUUCAGAAAAUGUACAGAACCCAUUAAGAUAUGGUCACUCAAAAACACUAAAUAUAGGAAAAUAUAGGAAAGUAUAUCAAAAGGAGUAACGCGUACAGGAAGAGCAACUAUUAUGAAGAAGAAUGUCUUAUGACAAGAUUCAGAAAAAGUACAGAACCUCUCUUAGGACGUGGUAACUGACUGGCCAUUCAGAAAUACUAAACACAGGAAAAUCUCAAGGAAGUGUAUCAAAAGGCGUGAUUAUGAGAAGAGCAUCCAUGUCCAUAUCGUUCAGAAACCAUGCAAGAAAUACCGCGUUCACCGAAACACUGAGACUUCAUUCGAUUGGCUGCUACGUAGACCAUGUGACCUACCAUAUAAGGAGAUGGUGGAGAGGAAUAGAUGAGGUGGUGUAUCAACAGCUGCUCAGGUGUCCAUUGAGGUCUACUAUACCGUCUUCAUCCGCGCCCUUGGUGUAAGCAGGGUUGCUGAACAUCAUUUGUCCACCUUCGUAAAACACGUUGUCUGGAAUAUCUUUUAUUGGCUCUAAAUUAAAACAAAAAUAUAGACCAUAUGAAAAAGGGCAUGUCCUUUGAGAUACAUUCGUUCAUCAGUAGAAGUCAAUAAUGCUUUCAUUAGAAAGAGUAUAUGGAAAUUAGUGAUCUUCCAAAAUUUUAGUGUAGUAGCAUUAAAUGAUAAAAAGCUACAGCUGUUUGAAAUUAGAAAGGUUUGUAUGGAAACAACAACCAAGGGCCUACCAGCUUCGCCAUCAUGUUUUUGGUACAUUUCAAAUGCUUUUAACUCUUCAGGGAUUUAAUAUAUGACAACAGAACUUUCUGAAAUUACUAAUUUAGACAUGGUCUUUCUCGUAAUGAAAAUAUAUUUUUGAAAUCAUUACUUGUUUUUUGUGGUGCUCGUUCCCAGUCUUACACUCGUUUUUCAUAUGGUCUAUUAAGCAAUGAAUUCAGAACAUUGACCACACAUGAAUAUUAAUGGCAAUUAUUAAAACCUGUUUACAAGGUCGAACUUUCUACUGUAUUGAACGCGCGAACGUAAAUUUCUUACAACCAAGACUUGGGCUACUCAAAUUUCAAGUUAGGUUUGAUAUUCUCCAAGAUGCAUCAUUCAAAUCAUGUAAAAAUAUUUAACCAUUCAACUAUUUACUUCAUGUAGAAUCGAUGCUGGAAAUAUUGAUUUAGGUGUUGUUCAACUCACUUGAUGGGACUGGUUUACUUCGUCUCCUGACCACAAAGAACACAAUAAGUCCUCCAACGAUGGAACCAAGUAUACUAAAUACGACCGCUACAGCAAUGGUUUUGGUUUGCUUUUCUGGAAAGAACAAUCAUAAAGUACAUUGAAUAAAUGACUUAUGAACAGUUGGCAUUAGAGUGCAGAGAACACAAGUACCGUGUACUGUAGCUGUAAUAGCUCUUGCAACAUCGAGCUAGCUUACCUUUAAAUCCCUUGUCACACUGGCAGUAAUUAUCAGCGGUUGUCAUGUUGCAGACACAAGUACCGUGGUCGCUACAGCCGCAUGGAUCAAAUCGCGCCAUCCCUGGAAAAGAAGUAAUAACAUUAAGACACUAUGGUAUAACUAUGGAAAAGAGACAUGGAAAUCAUGGAAAUAAGACAACACAAUGCAGUAACAUAUGUUGUGAUGCUCAUGAUUUAAUCCUGAAAUAAAAAUAUAUGAACACGCUC